GAUGAACGCUAGCUACAGGCUUAACACAUGCAAGUCGAGGGGAAACGACAUCGAAAGCUUGCUUUUGAUGGGCGUCGACCGGCGCACGGGUGAGUAACGCGUAUCCAACCUGCCCACCACUUGGGGAUAACCUUGCGAAAGUAAGACUAAUACCCAAUGAUAUCUCUAGAAGACAUCUGAAAGAGAUUAAAGAUUUAUCGGUGAUGGAUGGGGAUGCGUCUGAUUAGCUUGGUGGCGGGGUAACGGCCCACCAAGGCGACGAUCAGUAGGGGUUCUGAGAGGAAGGUCCCCCACAUUGGAACUGAGACACGGUCCAAACUCCUACGGGAGGCAGCAGUGAGGAAUAUUGGUCAAUGGGCGAGAGCCUGAACCAGCCAAGUAGCGUGCAGGAUGACGGCCCUAUGGGUUGUAAACUGCUUUUAUAAGGGAAUAAAGUGAGCCUCGUGAGGUUUUUUGCAUGUACCUUAUGAAUAAGGACCGGCUAAUUCCGUGCCAGCAGCCGCCGCAG
rnacentral:rRNA from 1 species